rnacentral:rRNA from 1 species
GAUGAACGCUGACAGAAUGCUUAACACAUGCAAGUCGACUUGAAUAUGGGUUUUUAACUUAGGUUUGGGUGGCGGACGGGUGAGUAACGCGUAAAGAACUUGCCUCACAGCUAGGGACACCAUUUGGAAACGAAUGCUAAUACCUAAUAUUAUGAUAAUAGGGCAUCCUAUAAUUAUGAAAGCUAUAAGCGCUGUGAGAGAGCUUUGCGUCCCAUUAGCUAGUUGGAGAGGUAACGGCUCACCAAGGCGAUGAUGGGUAGCCGGCCUGGGAGGGUGAUCGGCCACAAGGGCACUGAGACACGGCCCUUACGCAUACGGGGGGCAGCAGUGGGAAAUAGUGGACAAUGGACCGAGAGUCUGAUCCAGCAAUUCUGUGUGCACGAUGAAGUUUUUCGGAAUGUAAAGUGCUUUCAGUUGGGAAGAAACAAAUGACGGUACCAACAGAAGAAGUGACGGCUAAAUACGUG